CGAUGUUCCCCAAAUAUUGACAAUAUCUUGUUCCCGAAUUUGAGGUUUCCCCAUUUCAAAUUUGAAGCCGAAUUUGAGACGUUAUGGUUUUCGCCAUUUCAAAGUUGAAGCUUAAUUUGAGACGUUUGGUUUUCGCCAUUUCAAAUAGUACUGUCCUUUCGUUCAAUUUAGAAACGAGGAAAAGAAUUGGAGAAGAUGAUUCUCAGAUGUUCAGAACGCCGCAGCCGAGGAAGAGGAGGGCAGAAUCUCCGCCGCAGAAAGACAAUAACGCCAACAACAAUACGCCUCAGAGCACCAAUUCUACGAGGACUUGCCGGUGCCGGAAUAUUCGCAUGACCACUGGAUUCCAGUAACCUCUGCACCUAUCAAUGCCGGCUGAUGAAUCAGAGAGAACGAAACUCCUAUAGAAAAUUUUCAACACUGAGCAGGAACCAGCUGCUGAAAGAGGAUGUGAACAUAUAUUACAGGAGCAGCUAAAGAAGGAGGUCGAUGUUUCUCAAAAACAUCUAAGGAAACAACUACAGGUCAUUCAUGAGCUUGAGAUCUGCGCAAAAAUGAUGAGUCGUCAGCGUCCAAAGCCGAAGAAAGAGCACACGUAUUAGAGGAGAAGCUAAAUGCGCAUAAAUAGGGAAAAGGGCCAUCUUCAAAAUGAGCUUAUUCAAAUGAGAAGUGAUACAAAGCUGUCUGUUUCUAGAAUAAGUGUGGAUCUUGAAAGAAUGGAAUGCACAGCUAAAAAUGGAAAGGAAGGGUCCGAACUACUGAAGGUGCUCUUAGAAGGUGCUCUUAGAAGGACUUAGAGAGCGACUGGAUCAGGUGACUAAUUGACUGUUUCACUUGUAUGGGGUUUGUGAAUUAGUUAUAGGGGAAAAGAAUAAAUUGUAUUCAUAACUAGGGAGUAGGGAGUAGAAAGGGAGUAAAAAAUAGGGUUACUACUAUGGUUAAAUUUAUUCCUAAAAGAGCAACAAGUAAAUAAGGAACUAAAUACAAAAUAUAUUCUACAACAAUCCCACUCAAGCUAGAGCAUAUCUAUCGAUCAUGUCUAGCUUGAUACAAAGUUUUGAAAGCAUGCCCAAAAUCCCACCCAACGGUUUAGUUGUCUCAUGAAACACUAGGUUAUUUGCAAUUUAGAUAGUUGCUUGAUUACCACAACACAUAGGUAAAGGUUCAUUGAAAGUGAGCCCUAGUUCCUCAAGCAACUCUUUACCCCAAUGAUGCUAUUAGAAAUGGGCCACUUACCCUCUUAAAAAGCCUAUAUUUUAAUAUGAUAUCAGAACUGAGCAGUUACCAAUUUUACCAAUUUCACUAUCCUGGUGAACAUAUAAUUGUUGAUGAUUUCAUUCUCUAUCCUUCGGUAAAAAAAUCAACUAGAGCUCGUAUUAACCUAGUCUAGAUAAGGAAUCUCACCAUUUCCUCCCCAUUUUCUUCUUCUACAAGCCUUGUAGAUAAUAACCCAAGACACGUAAGAUAGAAGGUCCAGAAGAAAAUAAGUUUUGAUAUACCUUAACGCAAUUAGUGGUGUAUGAUGGUAAAUCAUUUGGUAAAAGCUAUGAGGGCAAGACACAUUGAACUUUAUUAUGAUGUCGAUGAAGAUUAAUACAUGUCCAAGGAUGUCCAACAAGAAGAGGUCUUGGUCCCAUGCAGUUUCCUAAAGAACCCAAAUUAUAAUGGUGUGAACAAUGAUGAGUAUAUUACAAAUACUAGUAUAACAUACACCGAUAUCUUGUACAACCACCUAUCAGGGUCAAUGAACCAAACGUUUUCCAACUCGUUAUCCAAACUCGACUUCGUAUCCUGUUUGUUUUGGACGGUAUUAUAAUUCUUUUCUCCAUCCAUUUUGCACCAAUCAAUUUCUUUGUAAUUUCACUUUCUUCGAUGCUGAAUUUCGAGAAAUUGAUGGGUGCAAAAUGGACGGAGAGAAAAUUGAUAAAUGAUGCAAACCAAUCAGGUACAAAGUUGGGUUCAGAGAACGAGUUAAAAAACGUUUGGUUCAUCGAAUCAAUUGCUGCUGGUACAAGAUAUUGGAGUUUGUUAUUGUACUAGUUUUUUGCAUCAUACGCCACUGAUCAAACCAUUGGAGUUUGGGUUCUUUAGGAGACUGCACGAGACCGACCAUCUUCUUGUUGGACAUUGUUUGUUUAUGCGUAAAUCUUCCUCGACAUUAUCUUGAAGUUCAUUGGGCGUUACCAACGUAGCUUUUACCAAAUGGUUUACGAUCAUAACCUAAUUGUGCUAAGGUAUGUCAGAUCUUAUUUUCAACUCGACCGCUGAUACGGGCUAACAUGCUGGUUGAUUUUUUCCGAAGGAUGGUGAAUGAAAUCAUCAACAAAUAUAUGUUCACUACCAAGUGAAACUAGUAAUCGCUCAGCUCUGAUAUCAUAUCAUAAAUGAGACAUUUAAGGAGUGAGUGACCCAUUUCUACAUGGUAGCAGAGCGGCCUAAGUUGAUGAUGAUCUCUUUGUUUGCACAUGUGAAGGUCAGAUGUGCAUUCUGGCUUACAUGUACGGGGGCGUGUUUAAAACCCCCAAUUCUAGUCCCACAUCAACUUUUUGAUGAUCUCAUCUCAUGUAUAUAUUCUUGGAUAAUCCUCCUCCCUUAUAUAGCCUUAUAGGGGGUGUGUGGACCAUUUCUACGAGGGAAAUAUCAAAAUGUAGACUUCCUACCAUUUUUUGAUUUAUCAGAAUCAACGUCAAAUAUCCUUCAAUCUUUAGAUGAUCAAUUUUUUUAAAUGACAACCUUUUUCCAUGAAACUCAACACUUGGGAGUUGGGACUGAGACCAUAUUAGAGGAAGAACUUGGCUACAAUGCCAAUCAGGUCCACAACCUCAGGUACGACCUCUUCUACCACCACCAAGCAGAGUUUGUGCACUUGGCAUUACUAUUCUAGCUCAUGAAGUUGUAAACUUAUAUUUCCUUUUCUUAAGAUUACUUUCCAUGUACCAUAACUGAGCUUCA